rnacentral:snRNA from 1 species
GUGCUCGCUUCAUCAGCACAUAUAUUAAUAUUGGAAUGAUACAGAGAAGAUUAGAAUGGCCCCUGCACAAGGAUGACAAACAAAUUCAUGAAGCGUUCCAUANNNNN